GAGUGCUCUGGUUCAAAAAGAAAAAAAGAGAAUUUGAUAAUUAGAAGCUGAAUACAAUGAAUUAUAUAUAACAGGAAAAUGUGACCAAUUACCUCAUCAUAAUCUUUUGUGUCAUAAAACUAGAAAAACAACUGUGGGGCUAUUCACUAGUGGUUUUGCAUUUUUCUGGGACCAUAAUACAGAUUUUUAAAAAUCAUAUUUUUCCAGAUACAAAUCGAGCUUUAAGACUGUUGGAAGAAUAUGCAAAAAAUUAAGGAAACCGGAGGAACAGCCACUGAAGAAAGCGGUCAAAAAAGUGAUGGGCAUCUUUAAGAGUUCAUUAUUUCAGGCUUUACUGGGUUGCCUCUCAUUACUUUGAUUUGUCGUUUACCAAUAAUUAACACUGCAAUAAUUACCUCACAUUUUUUGACUUUAUCUUUGAUGUUGGAGAAUCUCUGGAGAAGCUGCGGUGGUUCUAGGUAUAGAGUGACAUCUUGUGGCAAAAUUAGUGAAAAAAUAUUUUUGUAACUACAUCUGCCAUAGGAUUCUGUUUGCAAAAUUUUUUCAGGGUAUGGAAAUAAAUAAAUGUGAACUC
rnacentral:lncRNA from 1 species